CUUAUGACCAAAUAUUAUUUUACAUUAAUUUUUCAGGCAUCCAGGAGGGGGGUCAUGUGACUUCGUCAUAUAAGGUGUCAACAGGUUUAGCAAGAAAAACAAGCAGUGCUGAAUUAAAAUGUUGAUGGUCAAGGAUAUAUUAUUAUUUCUAAGGGUUAUACUGGGAGCAGUAUAUCGAUGGUCAAUGGAAAAUAAAAUAUUAUCGUCGUGAGGGGUUACAUCUAUAUACCCAAUAUGUUGGAAUUAUUAUCCCAGAGAUGUAUACGAGAGCGUUUUCACCCAAGUUUGGACGUCAUUUUUUUGAUGAAUUAGUCGACUAGUGUGGUGAUCUACUUGGUCAUGGUUACCGAAUGGGAGCGUACAUGUAUUUAUAUACGGGGAGGAAGAGGGUUGAUGGAUCAACAUUUCUACGUCGAAAAUUAUAGGGGUUGUUUCAACGCAUAAUU